AAAAGGGUUGAUGUUGUUGACGAGAUUAAAAAAUGGGAGAAGUUGCCUGUUUGUCAUGGAUGCGGUAUUAGAUUGCACAAAUCACACUCAUUUCAAUAACACUACUGAAUGGAAAUUACAUUUUGGCUAUAAUUUAAUAACAUUUUGGCUAUAAAUUUAAUAACAUUUUGGCUAUAAGUUUAAUAAUAACAUAUUGGCUAUUCCAAAUUUAAC
rnacentral:lncRNA from 1 species